GGCGGCGGAGGCGGCUGUGCCAGCCCAGGCGGGCUCGGACUGGAUCCAGGCAGCUGACCCGGCGGCGGAGGCGGCUGUGCCAGCGUAGGCGGGCUCGGACUGGAUCUCGGCAGCUGGCCCGGCGGCGGAGGCGGCUGUGCCAGCGUAGGCGGGCUCGGACUGGAUCCAGGCAGCUGGCCCGGCGGCGGAGGCGGCUGUGCCAGCGUAGGCGGGCUCGGACUGGAUCUAGGCAGCUGGCCCGGCGGCGGAGGCGGCUGUGCCAGCCCAGGCGGGCUCGGACUGGAUCCAGGCAGCUGGCCCGGCGGCGGAGGCGGCUGUGCCAGCCCAGGCGGGCUCGGACUGGAUCUAGGCAGCUGGCCCGGCGGCGGAGGCGGCUGUGCCAGCGUAAGCGGGCUCGGACUAGAUCCAGGCAGCUGGCCCGGCGCCGGAGGCGGCUGUGCUAGCCCAGGCGGGCUCGGACUGGAUCUAGGCAGCUGGCCCGGCGGCGGAGGCGGCUGUGCCAGCCCAGGCGGGCUCGGACUGGAUCCAGGCAGCUGACCCGGCGGCGGAGGCGGCUGUGCCAGCGUAGGCGGGCUCGGACUGGAUCCAGGCAGCUGGCCCGGCGGCGGAGGCGGCUGUGCCAGCCCAGGCGGGCUCGGACUGGAUCUAGGCAGCUGGCCCGGCGGCGGAGGCGGCUGUGCCAGCCCAGGUGGGCUCGGACUGGAUCCAGGCAGCUGGCCCGGCGGCGGAGGCGGCUGUGCCAGCCCAGGCGGGCUCGGACUGGAUCCAGGCAGCUGGCCCGGCGGCGGAGGCGGCUGUGCCAGCCCAGGCGGGCUCGGACUGGAUCUAGGCAGCUGGCCCGGCGGCGGAGGCGGCUGUGCCAGCGUAGGCGGGCUCGGACUAGAUCCAGGCAGCUGGCCCGGCGGCGGAGGCGGCUGUGCCAGCCCAGGCGGGCUCGGACUGGAUCUAGGCAGCUGGCCCGGCGGCGGAGGCGGCUGUGCCAGCCCAGGCGGGCUCGGACUGGAUCCAGGCAGCUGACCCGGCGGCGGAGGCGGCUGUGCCAGCGUAGGCGGGCUCGGACUGG
rnacentral:lncRNA from 1 species